GUGUGGGUGCUACUGAAUCUAGUUCUGUUGUGAGAGAGUUAUUGGCUUCAAUAAGAAUCUCAUAAAAAAGAAGUGUUGGAAUUGAUGAGAUUCCAUGCUCCAAUCCAAUUUAAGGGGGGAGUGUUAUAGAAAGUCAAUAUAUUUUAUAUAUAUUCCUAGUUAGCAUAGGAUUUAUAUUCCUAUUUAGAUAGAGAUUUGUAUUCCU
rnacentral:misc_RNA from 1 species